rnacentral:siRNA from 1 species
GAUAGCUUUGCAUACAUAUUGCA